rnacentral:rRNA from 1 species
GACGAACCGUGCGAACGUUGUUCGGAAUAACUGGGCAUAAAGGGCGCGUAGGCGGGCCCGAAAGUCAGGGGUGAAAUCCCACGGCUCAACCGUGGAAGCGCCUUUGAUACUGCGGGCCUGGAGGGAGGCAGGGGAGUGCGGAACUUCCGGUGGAGCGGUGAAAUGCGUAGAGUAUCGGAAGGAACACCGGUGGCGAAAGCGGCGACUCGUGGACCUCUACGUGACGCUGAGCGCGAAAGCCAGGGGAGCAAAGCGGGAUUAAGAUGACCCAGUAGUACC